UUCUAGCAGUAACAUAGCAUUAAAUUUGACACCUCACCUUCGCCUACUCGCUUUGGAAUAAUGUGAAACGUUUAUCUUUAUUUUUAAAAAUUAAAAAAUGGUUUUAAGGUGUUUUGUAUGCAAAAUUACGUAUGAUAAAAAUAAAAAGGAUAUACAGAUGCAUAAAGUUCCAGAAAAAGAACACAUAAAGAAAUUAUGGUUAUCUGCAUUAAACAUCAAGCAGAUCAGUCCAAAUGCAAGA